AGCGAACGCUGGCGGCAGGCUUAACACAUGCAAGUCGAGCGGGCACUUUCGGGUGUCAGCGGCGGACGGGUGAGUAACGCGUGGGAACGUGCCCUCUGGUUCGGAAUAACUCAGGGAAACUUGAGCUAAUACCGGAUACGCCCUUUUGGGGAAAGGCUUGCUGCCGGAGGAUCGGCCCGCGUCUGAUUAGCUAGUUGGUGUGGUAACGGCUCACCAAGGCGACGAUCAGUAGCUGGUCUGAGAGGAUGAUCAGCCACACUGGGACUGAGACACGGCCCAGACUCCUACGGGAGGCAGCAGUGGGGAAUAUUGGACAAUGGGCGCAAGCCUGAUCCAGCCAUGCCGCGUGAGUGAUGAAGGCCUUAGGGUUGUAAAGCUCUUUUAUCCGGGACGAUAAUGACGGUACCGGAGGAAUAAGCCCCGGCUAACUUCGU
rnacentral:rRNA from 1 species